AUGUUCUCUUUGUUCUGAAGAAUUCACCUGCUUGAGCGCCGAUGUACGCGCCCCCCCCCCCCCCCCUUAUUGUAAAUUCCCUAUAGAAGCCGGGGGUGUAUUAUUCCAGCUGAUCAAGGCCGAUGCUUUAAAUAACUGCGGUGUUUUCUGCGCAGACUACACACGAAGAACGCUUGUAAAGUUAAUGUGAUGGUUCAUGGGGACUGUACGCGUGUGUUUCCACCGCCAUUCCGAUGAAUCCCUUUUGUUGGAGGGAUAAAGGCGAAUCUUUUAUUUCUCGCAAUUUCUGGGUGCUCUACUGGCCAGAGGGUUCCCCUGAGAUAUAAGUAAGCUACCUGCGUUAACCUUCCAUUGUAGCUGAAGAAUUUGCUCAGACUUCUUUGAAAAGUUCUUGUUCCACCUCAGCGCUUAGCGUGCAUCGAUUGAAGGCCAGCGGGAAAGGUGUAAAUACAGUGACCGGAGAAGUGAAAUGAAAAGAGUCGGGGAGUUUCUUUCCGGCUCCUGAUAGUUACUCAAUGUCGCCUGUCAGAAAGGAGGGCGCUUGAUGUUGCUGUUUGUUACGCCACAAUGUAGCCUCCUGCCAUGUUGUGUCAUGAGAUUUAAAAGCUAAAAAUUCUAAUACUAACCAGGACCUAUUAUCGCUACAAAGGAUUUGGCUCGGAGAUCCGGGAUUUCUAUUUGUUUAAAAGUGACUAUGAUCUUACGCCAGAACUCCCAUUCUGCUCUGCAGUCUUUCAGCGGACGUAGCCAGCAGUUUAACUUUAAUGUGUCACAGCAUGGAAAAUCGCAUAGACGAAUAAAA